AUUGAACGCUGGCGGCAGGCCUAACACAUGCAAGUCGAGCGGAUGAAGGGAGCUUGCUCCUGGAUUCAGCGGCGGACGGGUGAGUAAUGCCUAGGAAUCUGCCUGGUAGUGGGGGAUAACGUCCGGAAACGGGCGCUAAUACCGCAUACGUCCUGAGGGAGAAAGUGGGGAUCUUCGGACCUCACGCUAUCAGAUGAGCCUAGGUCGGAUUAGCUAGUUGGGGGGGUAAAGGCCUACCAAGGCGACGAUCCGUAACUGGUCUGAGAGGAUGAUCAGUCACACUGGAACUGAGACACGGUCCAGACUCCUACGGGAGGCAGCAGUGGGGAAUAUUGGACAAUGGGCGAAAGCCUGAUCCAGCCAUGCCGCGUGUGUGAAGAAGGUCUUCGGAUUGUAAAGCACUUUAAGUUGGGAGGAAGGGCAGUAAGUUAAUACCUUGCUGUUUUGACGUUACCAACAGAAUAAGCACCGGCUAACUUCGUG
rnacentral:rRNA from 1 species